GACGAACGCUGGCGGCGUGCUUAACACAUGCCAGUCGAACGGGCCCGCCCCUGUUUUUGGGGGUGGGUUGAGUGGCGAACGGGUGAGUAUCACGUGAGUAACCUGCCCCCUGCUCCUGGAUAACUGCUUGAAAGGGCGGCUAAUACGGGGUGUGCCGGCUGGUCCGCAUGGGCCUGGUCGGGAUAGUUUCAUCUUCGGGUGUUUCGGUGGGGGAUGGGCUCGCGGCCUAUCAGCUUGUUGGUGGGGUGAUGGCCCACCAAGGCGGUGACGGGUAGCCGGCCUGAGAGGGUGGGCGGCCACACUGGGACUGAGACACGGCCCAGACUCCUGCGGGAGGCAGCAGUGGGGGGUAUUGCACAAUGGGCGGAAGCCUGAUGCAGCGACGUCGCGUGAGGGAUGGAGGCCGUCGGGUGGUGAACCUCUUUCUCCGGUGGUGAAGGCCCUGUCCGUUGCGGCGGGGUUGACGGUAGCCGGGUAUGAAGCGCCGGCUAACUACGUG
rnacentral:rRNA from 1 species